GCCGGUGCACGUGAUGACCCGACUUUUUUCCCCGUCAGAUCGGCCUUGCUGAUAGCUCUGAGUUUCUGCCAGUUAUUUCUGAGGCACCGGC
ensembl:snoRNA small nucleolar RNA, C/D box 12C